rnacentral:rRNA from 1 species
ACGCUGGCGGCAGGCCUAACACAUGCAAGUCGAGCGGUAGAGAGAAGCUUGCUUCUCUUGAGAGCGGCGGACGGGUGAGUAAUGCCUAGGAAUCUGCCUGGUAGUGGGGGAUAACGUUCGGAAACGGACGCUAAUACCGCAUACGUCCUACGGGAGAGAGCAGGGGACCUUCGGGCCUUGCGCUAUCAGAUGUGCCCAGAUGGGAUUAGCUAGUAGGUGGGGUAAUGGCUCACCUAGGCGACGAUCCCUAGCUGGUCUGAGAGGAUGACCAGCCACACUGGAACUGAGACACGGUCCAGACUCCUACGGGAGGCAGCAGUGGGGAAUAUUGCACAAUGGGCGCAAGCCUGAUGCAGCCAUGCCGCGUGUGUGAAGAAGGCCUUAGGGUUGUAAAGCACUUUCAGCGAGGAGGAAGGCGUUGUAGUUAAUAGCUGCAACGAUUGACGUUACUCGCAGAAGAAGCACCGGCUAACUCCGUGCCAGCAGCCGCGGUAAUACGGAGGGUGCAAGCGUUAAUCGGAAUUACUGGGCGUAAAGCGCACGCAGGCGGUUUGUUAAGUCAGAUGUGAAAUCCCCGAGCUUAACUUGGGAACUGCAUUUGAAACUGGCAAGCUAGAGUCUUGUAGAGGGGGGUAGAAUUCCAGGUGUAGCGGUGAAAUGCGUAGAGAUCUGGAGGAAUACCGGUGGCGAAGGCGGCCCCCUGGACAAAGACUGACGCUCAGGUGCGAAAGCGUGGGGAGCAAAC